rnacentral:rRNA from 1 species
UGGGGAAUAUUGCACAAUGGGCGCAAGCCUGAUGCAGCCAUGCCGCGUGUAUGAAGAAGGCCUUCGGGUUGUAAAGUACUUUCAGCGGGGAGGAAGGGAGUAAAGUUAAUACCUUUGCUCAUUGACGUUACCCGCAGAAGAAGCACCGGCUAACUCCGUGCCAGCAGCCGCGGUAAUACGGAGGGUGCAAGCGUUAAUCGGAAUUACUGGGCGUAAAGCGCACGCAGGCGGUUUGUUAAGUCAGAUGUGAAAUCCCCGGGCUCAACCUGGGAACUGCAUCUGAUACUGGCAAGCUUGAGUCUCGUAGAGGGGGGUAGAAUUCCAGGUGUAGCGGUGAAAUGCGUAGAGAUCUGGAGGAAUACCGGUGGCGAAGGCGGCCCCCUGGACGAAGACUGACGCUCAGGUGCAAAAGCGUGGGGAGCAAACAGG